rnacentral:rRNA from 1 species
GUGGGGAAUAUUGGACAAUGGGCGCAAGCCUGAUCCAGCCAUGCCGCGUGAGUGAUGAAGGCCUUAGGGUUGUAAAGCUCUUUCAGUGGGGACGAUAAUGACGGUACCCACAGAAGAAGCCCCGGCUAACUUCGUGCCAGCAGCCGCGGUAAUACGAAGGGGGCUAGCGUUGUUCGGAUUUACUGGGCGUAAAGCGCACGUAGGCGGAUCGUUAAGUCGGGGUUGAAAUCCUGGAGCUCAACUCCAGAACUGCCUUCGAUACUGGCGAUCUUGAGUCCGGAAGAGGUGAGUGGAACUCCUAGUGUAGAGGUGGAAUUCGUAGAUAUUAGGAAGAACACCAGGGGCGAAGGCGGCUCACUGGUCCGGUACUGACGCUGAGGUGCGAAAGCGGGGGGAGCAAACAGGAUUAGAAACCCGGGUAGUCC